rnacentral:rRNA from 1 species
AGAGUUUGAUCCUGGCUCAGGAUGAACGCUGGCGGCGUGCCUAACACAUGCAAGUCGAGCGAGGGUUUGCUCAGUAUUGAGUAUUCUAAGACUAGAAUGUUCAAUUCUGAGCAAAACCAAGCGGCGGACGGGUGAGUAACGCGUGGGUAACCUGCCCUAUACACAUGGAUAACAUACUGAAAAGUUUACUAAUACAUGAUAAUAUAUAUUUGUGGCAUCGCAGAUAUAUCAAAGUGUUAGCGGUAUAGGAUGGACCCGCGUCUGAUUAGCUAGUUGGUGAGAUAACUGCCCACCAAGGCGACGAUCAGUAGCCGACCUGAGAGGGUGAUCGGCCACAUUGGAACUGAGACACGGUCCAAACUCCUACGGGAGGCAGCAGUGGGGAAUAUUGCACAAUGGGCGAAAGCCUGAUGCAGCGACGCCGCGUGAGUGAAGAAGUAUUUCGGUAUGUAAAGCUCUAUCAGCAGGGAAGAAAAUGACGGUACCUGACUAAGAAGCACCGGCUAAAUACGUGCCAGCAGCCGCGGUAAUACGUAUGGUGCAAGCGUUAUCCGGAUUUACUGGGUGUAAAGGGAGCGUAGACGGUUGUGUAAGUCUGAUGUGAAAGCCCGGGGCUCAACCCCGGGACUGCAUUUGGAACUGUCAGGCUAGAGUGUCGGAGAGGAAAGCGGAAUUCCUAGUGUAGCGGUGAAAUGCGUAGAUAUUAGGAGGAACACCAGUGGCGAAGGCGGCUUACUGGACAGUAACUGACGUUGAGGCUCGAAAGCGUGGGGAGCAAACAGGAUUAGAUACCCUGGUAGUCCACGCCGUAAACG